GUACAUUAAGACAGCAGUGUCACUGUUCGUCAUACUUGGUGAGUUCAAGGCGGACUGCAAGCAUCGCCAUUUGAGGAUUUGUUGGGGUUUCUUUUCCCUCCUGCUUCAGAUAUGGAUGACAUUUCAUCGCCUCACAUGGCAUCAACUUCCAGGAUCCAUGACCAAAGCCAAGGAUGGGAAACUUCUUUCUGCUUGGGAGCUGCCCGGGUACCAAAAAGAGAAGAGUUAAGAGGGGACCAGUCCAGCUGUUAUGAAUAAUUAUGGAGUAGUUCACUCCCAGAGUUCAAAAGCCUUGCACUAAAUUUCAAAGGUAGAUGAUGCCAUCUCUGAAACUUCAGGCUCACAAACAAGAAGAUCAUAUACUAACCCACCAGUUUAUUAUUAUUAAUAAUUAAUAUUAUUUAUUGUAUGCUAAUUAUUUCAAUCACAUAAAAAUAGUAACAAGAGAAAACAUAUGUAUUUAUUUUCAAUAUACGAGAGCAAUGAAGAAGAGAAAAAGGUGUUUGCUGAUGGAGGCUACUAAGUAAGAAAUAAGUUUUAUUGGAAUACCAAAAACUUUUGUUCAGCCACAAAUAUUUUUCCUGAAUAAUCACAUGUGGGAUCCUGCUUUUAUCCAACAACUCAUGUGCCAUAGGCUUUUCCCAAUACUCUUAAUUUGGAGUGGAUUAAUUUGAUACAAGCAUAUUUGUGCUGAUGUCCCCUUAUCUUAGCUGAAGUCAGUGGAUUUCCACACAAGGUUGGUGGCAAGCAUGCCUUGGCUCACAGCCCUGCAGCCUUGUCAGCUGCACCUAAAUGCACCCAUUCAGAUGGGAAGAGGCACAAGGAACUGAGUAUACAGCACACUGAGAAAAGUUAAAUGUUCUGUCAACAAGAUACGUGCAGCCCAAACUAAAGUAGAUUUAAAUCACUAGAAAGGCCCCUAUUAAUGCCAAUAGUUUUGAUGGCAUUCAUGCUUCUACAGAAACUGCAGCAGGUAAGAAUUUCAUAAUAUCUAUAGG